CGAUGAGACACCCCUAAUGUAUUGAGCCAGACGGGGCUAAAUGCCUUAUUUCGACUGACAGUUGCAGUAUGGGAAUCUGUAGUUGGCCAUUGCAGCACCAUGGACAGCAACAGCUGCACUGAGGAAUACAAACAGUUGGAGCCAGGAGACUUAAUAGUUGGAUCAAUGACGUGAACAUGAGUUCCAUCAACGGCUCCAACAACUCCAGGAAAGCCCACAAUCCUCAUAAAAGUGGCUUGUUUUUGCAGCAUGGUUUGACAGUCAGUUGGAAGGUUAAUGAACUGUCAUAUAGUAGUGGCCAAAAUUUAUGUCCGGCCUAUGAAAUUUGACAUCUUCACCCUUAUUUAAUAAAA